AUGCACGCUGGCGGCGUGCCUCAUCCCUGCAAGUCGAGCGAACGGACGAGAAGCUUGCUUCUCUGAUGUUAGCGGCGGACGGGUGAGUAACACGUGGAUAACCUACCUAUAAGACUGGGAUAACUUCGGGAAACCGGAGCUAAUACCGGAUAAUAUUUUGAACCGCAUGGUUCAAAAGUGAAAGACGGUCUUGCUGUUACUUAUAGAUGGAUCCGCGCUGCAUUAGCUAGUUGGUAAGGUAACGGCUUACCAAGGCAACGAUGCAUAGCCGACCUGAGAGGGUGAUCGGCCACACUGGAACUGAGACACGGUCCAGACUCCUACGGGAGGCAGCAGUAGGGAAUCUUCCGCAAUGGGCGAAAGCCUGACGGAGCAACGCCGCGUGAGUGAUGAAGGUCUUCGGAUCGUAAAACUCUGUUAUUAGGGAAGAACAUAUGUGUAAGUAACUGUGCACAUCUUGACGGUACCUAAUCAGAAAGCCACGGCUAACUACGUG
rnacentral:rRNA from 1 species